GUAAGGCCAAAGUUUAGUCUGAAGUUGACUCCAGAGUAAAGGUAAGUUAUCCCAUUUCAUUCGUUCAUUCAUUUUAAGCGUUUAACAAUAAUAUCUAAUGUUUUUGAGAUGAUGACUAAUUCAAAAUUAUGGAUACCGAUUUUUAUAUUAAUUUUGUAUUUACAUUGUGUCAUAGCUGGGGAUUUUAUAUCAGUCAGGUUCAACUUGAUUUGACACUGCAUGUCACGUAGCUGCUGUAUUGAUAGCAGAACAAAAUCAGCCACUAGAAUGUUUUAGAGUUUGUGUGAUUUCGUUUUUCCUUACUCCCAUUUAGCAAUGUCUUAGUUACAUUUUUUUAGAACAUACUUGGUAGUCGAUUAUUUUAUUGAAAUCUCAUGAUAUACAUAUUCUAAUUUCAGAUGAUAGUGUUUGCAAUUCAACUAGCUCUUAUUGCCAUGGACACUUUCAAAUGGUACAAGGGCGAGUUUGAAUCAAAAGGUACGUGGUUUAUAUGAUGUUCCCGACGUAAUCUGAAAUUUGAUAAAUGUGUCAACUUAACUUUUGGGUGUAUCUGUUUUCGUGGAAGAGCUUGAACAAUUAAGAGGGUGAAAUUUAAGGCAGAUGUAAGUGUGGCUUUGAGUUUGAGUCUCAGUAUCGUAUGUAUAAAAAUAUAUUAUAUAUAAGUCCGUAAGAAUUCGAGUGAUAUGGCGAAAAAGCAUAGGCGGAUCCAGGGGGGCCUGGGUCCCCCUCUUUGGUGGAAAAAAUUUGGUUGCUUAUAUAGAGAAUCACUGAAGCGUGACUGAAGCGCACCCUUAGGUCAGUCAGCAAAAAAACAAAAAAGUUCUGGAUCCGCAACUGAAAAGUUCAUGUUCAAUUUUCGUCACAUUUAACUCCAGUAUCUGAACUGAAUGACAAUCUAAUUGAAAUUUAGAUCUCUGAUUUCAUUAUUCUCAUAAUUAAAUUAACGGUACUAAUUUUCUUGCACCAGAUGCGCAUUUCGACAAUACAUGUCUCUUCAGUGAUGCUGUGGCCUAAAUAUUUUGAAAUCAAAGCUUAUAUAAAGAUGAAGAGCCCAAAAGGUUCAAAAAGUAUAGCCAAAUUCGUGAAGAAUCAGAGCUUUGCAUGAGGGAGAUACAUUCCUUAAUUUAUAAAAAUUUUCAUAAGAGAUAUAUACGAGCAAGCAAGUUGUUAUAUAAUAUCUUUAAUUUUGAUUAGAUGAUCAGUGUUUGACAACAUAUGAUUUGAAACCAUAAUUUCAAUUAAUACACACUUAUAGCCAUCAAUGCUGAUACUUGGUCACCACGAACUUUCAAAUUAUUUUAGUAUGGAUAAAUUUAAAGGUCUUAUAAACUACACAAUUUUUACUCAAAUGGAGUUUGCAAUACCCCUUACGCAAAAUGAGCCCUAAAAGACUAUCCUGGGUUUUGUUUGUUAUUUUCUGCUCUUUGUUUUUUUGUGCGUGUCUCAAACUUUGUAUAAGAGAAAAAGGUAAGAUAAGAUAUAAGUCAUCUAUUAUUUGUUAAAAGAUAAUCUAUAUUGGAGAAGUCAGUACUAUUUCAAGUUGCAGUACAUAAACACCACCCCUGAGAAUUUGAAAUGUACUACAGGAACACAAUACCAACCAUUGACACUUGAUAUUUGUUGCAUAAGCAACUAAGUAACAAUAGUUUGUGCUCAAGAUCUCGGAAUUUGAAAAAUCACCAUUAGGUCAGAAAAAAAAGUGAUCAAACUAUAUAUAACGACUUAUCCGAGAAUAUUUCAAUAUACAUAAACAACAACACUAAAAAGUAGAUUUAGAUAACGUGAUGAGACAAUGGGAAGAUUAAAAUUGACGAGUUUAAUGUACAAGACAGCUGAUGAUAAAUGAAUGUUGUUCUAUCUUUAAACGUCCAGUGGCAAACAUCAAAAAAAAAUAUUGAAGACAUUUGAAGUGAAUUCUUUGUAGGUAAAUGUCUGUCACCGGAGCAUCUUUUUACCACAGAACACUAAAAAUAUACCACAGAACUACACAAAUUACAGUUAAUAAAACUACUGAAAUAUACCACAGAACUACACAAAUUACAAUAUACCUACUGAAAUAAACCACAGAACAUUAAACUUACUUUAUAAACUGCAAAUCUAAUAAUUCAGAAUAAUAUUAUUUCUUUGGUGUGCAAUGACAUAACGAUUUACUGGUGCACUGUCUGUCACUCAAUAUGGAAAUUCAUUUUGCUCUGAUAGUAACCAAUACAGGCUAUUCAAUGCUUUCAAAGGACAGUCCUUAUUUUCAAACUUAUUUACCAGAAAGUUAAAACAAAACACUGGGCAAUAUUAACAUCACAGUAGAUGUUCUUGGCUAGUUGUUUCUCCUGCUUGGCAUUAUAUGUGUUGAAGAUCUAUAUAUAUUUGUGUUUUGGGAAGAAUGCUAGUUAAAAAAUGAUAAUUGCUGAGCAUAGUAAGACCAAUGCUAUUGAUUUUGCAUUUUUUUUUUACCCUUUAAAAUUGAUUUUUUUAGAUUCACAUGUAAUCAUAUUUUUGAAUCAGUUACAAUAUUUCAAAAGAAUUGUUUUAAAAAGUGUCUUCUGUAGAAAUAUAUAAUUAUAAGUCUUGAAAAAAAUGGUAAAAAAAACCAUUUCAAUUAUUUCCUAAAAUUACCUCUUUUGAUGACUACCACAAGGACAGAAAAAAAUUUACAAAAUUAUAAAUUUAAACUAUACAGUAUUGAUAACUAUUCCCAUAUACCUAAACAACCACACUCUAAAGAGAAGAUUUUACUAAAACACUUAAAAAAAAUAUGAUAUCAAUAUAAUCUUAUUUCUGUCUUCACAGAAGCCUACAGGGUUAGAUUUUACCAAAGAAAACGGAAUAGACAUGUAAAUAGUCAUAGAUACCAAAUACAGCAAAAGAUGCUCAAAGAAAGUUUACUUAUGUGGCAAAAUGAAGAGGACUUAGAUUUAUUAAGAUGUAUGUCAAAUAUGUUUUAUGAACAAUAAAUAUGAGA
rnacentral:lncRNA from 1 species